rnacentral:lncRNA from 1 species
CGAUUUUACCGUGCAUCAAGCUCAUUUGAGCUCGGGAGUAGAAACUCUGCGUUCCGCACACACAUUCUUACAGAUAAAAGACAACCUAAAGGAGCUGAGAACCUAUCUAAGCUCCUUGAUUUCCUGUAUAAGUCCCAUGAUCUCAGACCUGCCUUGCCGCCUAUUGUUCUACAUACCCACCAAAACAAGAGAACCAGUCUUGUACUCCAGGUUAUGCCAAAUGAAUGCCAUCACGGAGUAAGUGUAUCAGCUGUCAAGGGAUUCAGCACAUUUUCAUAUCUCUGAGCAGCUGCAAGGAAGAACUGCCCACCUGUAUCCCUGGCAAUAACUGUAGUAGUCA